GUGGGGAAUAUUGGACAAUGGGGGGAACCCUGAUCCAGCCAUGCCGCGUGUGUGAAGAAGGCCUUUUGGUUGUAAAGCACUUUAAGCGAGGAGGAGGCUACCGAGAUUAAUACUCUUGGAUAGUGGACGUUACUCGCAGAAUAAGCACCGGCUAACUCUGUGCCAGCAGCCGCGGUAAUACAGAGGGUGCAAGCGUUAAUCGGAUUUACUGGGCGUAAAGCGCGCGUAGGUGGCCAAUUAAGUCAAAUGUGAAAUCCCCGAGCUUAACUUUGGAAAUGCAUUCGAUACUGGUUGGCUAGAGUAUGGGAGAGGAUGGUAGAAUUCCAGGUGUAGCGGUGAAAUGCGUAGAGAUCUGGAGGAAUACCGAUGGCGAAGGCAGCCAUCUGGCCUAAUACUGACACUGAGGUGCGAAAGCAUGGGGAGCAAACAGGAUUAGAUACCCUAGUAGUCC
rnacentral:rRNA from 1 species